rnacentral:rRNA from 1 species
ACAGCAGCCGCCGCGGGAAUACGUAGGUCCCAAGCGUUGUCCGGAUUUAUUGGGUGUAAAGCGAGCGCAGGCGGUUAGAUAAGUCUGAAGUUAAAGGCUGUGGCUUAACCAUAGUACGCUUUGGAAACUGUUUAACUUGAGUGCAAGAGGGGAGAGUGGGAUUCCAUGUGUAGCGGUGAAAUGCGUAGAUAUAUGGAGGAACACCGGUGGCGAAAGCGGCUCUCUGGCUUGUAACUGACGCUGAGGCUCGAAAGCGUGGGGCGCAAACAGGAUUAGAUACCCCGGUAGUCCCUGUCUCUUAUACA